UACGGAGGGUGCAAACGUUGCUCGGAAUCAUUGGGCGUAAAGCGCACGUAGGCGGACCGCUAAGUCAGUGGUGAAAGCCUCCAGCUCAACUGGAGAACUGCCAUUGAUACUGGCGGGCUUGAGUACAGACGAGGUAGGCGGAAUUGAUUGUGUAGCGGUGAAAUGCAUAGAUACAAUCAAGAACACCGAUUGCGUAGGCAGCUUACUAGGCUGUAACUGACGCUGAGGCACGAAAGCGUGGGGAGCGAACAGG
rnacentral:rRNA from 1 species